rnacentral:lncRNA from 1 species
UGUGGGCUUCCUGGUGAUGUGGGCCAGCCAGGUAUGGGUGGAACCGUCCUACUCCCCCUCCAGCCCUAAGCCUGAGCCAGCCUGAGUCUGGCAUGGAGCUCCUGGAGCCAGGGGACCUUCCUUCUGCCCCGCCCCCGCCCCACAGGUCCCCAGCAGCGGCACCUUUCUGCGUGUGUGUGACCGAUUCGUUCACGUCGACUCCUCCCCUGGACAGAGGCUUCUGGAAAACUAAAGUUGGCCCCUUGGUUCCCCCCUUGCCAGGCAGGGCUGGCCCUCAGAGCCUGGUGGAUGAACAGACCAGGAGGGAAGUUUGGGAACACCCGGCUCAGAGAUGAGAAGAGAGGGUGGAUCAGCCGCCACAUGGCAAAGCCAUGGGCCAGCUCUCCCUGCCACGGCCAGUGGACCCGGGACUUGGGUUCUCCAGCAUGGGCCCAGGCGGCUCGGAGCAGGGGCUGCUUCCCUCCGGCCCUUUCCCCGAAGCCCGCUCCCUUCUCCACCCCCGUCCCUGCCCACUCCCCGCAGGCCGGGGUGCACUUGGAGCCCCGAGGACCUCCGAGGCUGUCGCCACCCUCCUCUGUUCUGACUGCUUUCUAUUACUGGGCUUGUAAAAUGAUUAUUGUUUUGCUGUGGUAAGAUGUACAUAAUAUAAGAUUUACCUGUUUUUUUUGUUUGUUUGUUUGUUUUCGUUUUUGAUUUUUUUUUUUUGAGGCAGGGUUUCAGUCUGUCCCCCAGGCUGCAGUGCAGUGGCACAAUUUUGGCUUACUGCAGCCUCGAACACCUGGGUUCAAGCAAUCCCCCCACCUCAGCCCCCCAAGUAGCUGGGACUAUAAGCAGGUGCCACCACAUCCGGCUUUUUUGUAGAGAUGAGGUUUCUCUGUGUUGCCCAUGCUGGUCUUGAACCCUGGCACUCAAGUGACCCUCACACCUCCCAGCACCUCAGCCUCCUAGAGUGCUAGGCUUGCAGGCGUGAGCCACUGCGCCUGGCUAAAUUUU